UUAACAAAGCGUGGCGUGGAAGCCUUGGCACCAGUGAACUUGGACGUUUCAAAUACGAAAAGCUGUGGUCUCUGCUUGCCACAGAUCUCCAAAGGGAAACCCAAAAGACUAAUCAUCUGCCAACGGAAACCUCCUAUAGCAGAAAAUUCAUCAACCGAAAAUCCGAUAGUAGUGGCGAACGAACUCGGAAAUAGUCAGUCUUCGCUUUUCGAACCUGGGCGUUCGCAUAUGGAGCGUGCCUCGCUCCAUCGAACAUGCUCGUCAAUCUGCUUUAUUGUUACGCUUUCUGAGCUUUACAGAUCAGUCAACGUGACAUUUUUGGAAAACAGAGCCAAAGAAGGUGAUAGCCCUGUAGACGAGAUCAUGUAAUUGACAUCGUGAAUAAUCUCAUACAUAUGUAUGAAAAUUUAAACAAUUUCUCAAUGUGUCACUAAAGUGACACAUUAGUGACACCUAAGGUGUCACCAACGAUUUGCAGAUGCUCGUUUUAUCUCGAGAAUCGAAGGGGGAACCACCCUCCUGGCAAAAACCACUGUGUGACCGAUAGUGAACAAGUACCGUGAGGGAAAGGUGAAACAGAGUGACCGACGGUCACAAUGAAAUAGUUCUGAAACUCCGCGCUUACAUCCGACUAAAAGCUCAUAUUGCGAUUCGCUUCGCGAAUCGAUUAGGGAGUUUUAGUGUCCCUUUUGCAACAUGGGUCAGCGAGUUGUUUGUAGCAGCUGCUUAAACUGGUAAGUGUAGGCA
rnacentral:rRNA from 1 species